rnacentral:sRNA from 1 species
GUGGGGAGCCGGUCUUGCAGCAGCGGGUGAGUUUCCCUGUGUCUAGAUUAGAUCCGCUUCCAGCGCUUCUGUACCCGGUGUUGGCGGAGGGGUUCCUACGGAUCUUCAAAUCCUCCCGCCGUUCCCUCCACCCUAGGUAAAUUAAUACAUCGCCAAGAAAUUCGGAGGUUAAAAUCGCUCGGAGGCUGCUGGUCCUGUCCCUGAGCUCUCUGCCUUCAGGCCACGUAGACGCUUUUCUUCCCGUUUACCUGUUUAAAACCCUUUACUGACCACUUCUUCGGUUCCGCGUCAUGUAAAAGUCCUCACCCCUGAGGUGUAUUCAUGCCCGGUGGGUCCUCCAAGCCUCGCCCUUCUGGCCCCUUGGAGCUCAGUCCCGCAGUCUCAAUGCAUCAGCGCCUUGUUCUCUGCCCGGCCCUGGGAUUUUGGAAACCCCACCCCUCUCCUAAUCCACCCCCGACCUUGUCCUCCUUGGGCUGGGCCCUUCUGUUCCCCAAGUUUCCCCUUCACAACCCACAUUCCUUACGCCGCAAUGAGGGAGGUGACGGGGCCUGGCUUUUGACACUCAGUGUUUUUCCGUUCCAAAUUGCACCCGCUGGAAAAUGUGCUCUUCCAGAGGAAAAACGAUUGAUUUAUUAUUUCCUCUUCUGAAACUCAACACAAUAGUAAACACUGAACCCAGAAUACUUCACCUGUGGUCACCGAAUGUGUGGGGAUUUCUCCCCACUAACAAGCAGUUCUCUAUCAGACACCAACUCGGUGUCCCAUAAUUUACCUUAUUUCUGACAGCCUUGCUCCCUCUGCUGCAGCUACACAGACCUCAUUCCUUUUCCUGGAGCUGAGGUUGCUCCUGUCUCAGGGCCUUCACCUGGGCUGUCCCUCUGUCUAGGACUCUCUAGCCCCUCGGUUGCAGGUGACAAACAUCCUUCCUUUUCUAGGCCUGGGUUCUGAUAUCACCUUCUCAGUGAAGGUUUAUGUGACCCUUCCCCUGUCACACCCUCACCUGCUCUGGCCAAUAUUGCCUCCCCUAGAUGUUUCUUUCUGCUCCUUUGCUGUCCACUGUCUGGAUCCUGGUGACAACAAGGACCCAAGCGGAGAGCAGAGCCAGAAGGUAGGGGUUGUUCUUUUGCUCACUCUGAGUUUAGCUCAACCCUGGCUUCACAUUAGAAUGCUGAGACAUUUUGCAAAUAUAUCUCUUGUGCCUCCUUUCCAGAGAUUCCCAUGCACAUAGGUUCAAGCGCAGUGUCCCACAUGAUUCUAAUCUGUAUUCAUCACUGAACAUCAGGGUGCUGUGUCUUCCAUUUCUGAAAGCUGAUAUCAGCCUGUGAUCCACGGAGAGGGGAGAGGCUGUGGUCUGCAUGGGGUUUGGUCAGGGCCAGAUCUGUGCCCUGAAGGGGAGCUCAGUCCAGCCCCGCACCCCACUGCUGCAGCAUGUAUGUGGGCUUCUCCAGGACGGGAGUAAGCUUUGAAGAACUCAAAAACUGACUUGUUCUUCCUGUAGGACUUUCUUGUCUGCAUCAUCCCUGGUGCUAUGGGCAGCAGAGGGCCAUCUUUCCACAGGGUGAGGUCUUUCCUGUGUGUGUGGUUGUGGCACAGGGAGGGGUGUGUUGAUUUUGAGCAGUAAACAGCAUAUUUUGAACACUCAGGAUUAACUUGUUUUUUAAAAAGUUUUCUUUUUCUUUUUCUUUCAGGAUUAGCUUCUAAAGUCUCUUUCAUCUCUCCUAAGGAAGCCUAGAAGAGGAGGAAGAGGAAAGAAAAGGAAUCAGGAAUGGCUCUUAGGUACAGUGAUAUUCUCAGUGGACUGUUCUGUGUCUCCUUCCUUUCUGAAAUGCCACGUGUGGUGUUAUGAUAUAUAUUGGUUUCCAUCGACGGUUCCUGGCUUAUAACCUCCAUAGCCCUUGUUACAAUAAUGUUGGAUGUGUUAAGCCUCAGGGGCAGGCCUCUGACCUUCUUUUGCCUUCCUUUCACUCUGAUGUUCCCCAGCCUUUCUAAUUGUGGGUCUUAAGACCCUCCUCUGAGAGCUUCCCACCCUGUACCCUGGGGGGAAGGAUGUUGAUGUCAUGAAACUUCCAUAAAAACCCAAAGGGCAAAGUUCGAUGAGCUUCUGGAUGGCUGAACAGAUGGAGGUUCUUGGAGGUAGUAAGCCCGGUGGGGCAUGGAAGCCCUGCACCCCUUCCUCCAUACCUUGCUGUAGGUGCCUCUUCAUCUGUAUCCUUUGCAGUAUCCUUUAUAAUAAACUGGUAAAGGUAAGUAAGUGUUUCCCUGAGUUCUGUAAGCCAAUCUAGCAAAUUAAUUGAACACAAAGUGGGGGUCAUGUGAACCCCAGUUUGAAGCUGGGUGGUCAUAAGUUCUGAAGGCCUGGACUUGCAACUGGUGUGUGUGGAGGCAGUCUUGGAGACUGAGCCAUCAACUCGUGGGAUCUGACGCUGUCUCCAGUCUUAAUGUGCACAGUAGACAGUGUUGGAAUUAAAUUGGAAGAUACCCAGCUAGUGUCUGCUGCUUGGUGUGUGGGGAAAGUACCCACAUACUUUUAGUCACAGAGGUCUUCUUCUGUGUUGAUGAUUGUUGUGGUGUGAGAGUAGAGAAAAAGCACAAUUUGAGGAGAGCUUUUCCCUGUACACAUCAGGCAUUGGAGAUGUCAAUCUUCUCUGAGUCUGAAGCAUCCUGCCUGUCAUGUUUGCUCACACUCACCCAUGUCUUCCCUCAGUCCCUCUGAUGUCACUUAAAUUCCAUCUCACAGUGACCGGUGGUGUGGAAUUUGUGAAGAGGCUCCACUGGGAAGGACUUAUACCCAGACAUGGAUGGAGACAGGGUGUGGGCCCCAUGGUGUCACUGCUCUCGGGCAGCUGGGAUUGAAGGAUUGUUUAAGAGCCAGGUCUGGAUGCACUGCCAGCUCUGUAGACCGGAUUAUGGAAGCUGCACAUGGAAGUCUCAAUGUGCACAACUGCCUGAUAAAAUUUGGAAGAAGAGAUUAGGAAGAGGAAAUCUUUUCUGCCUGAUUUUAUACUCCAUUUGUAGUAAACAUUUAACAGCAAGAGAUUCUUUAAACCAUUCUAAGUACAUCCAUCCUAUGGAGAUUGUGGUAUUCCUGCAGACUCUUGUGAAACAGAUGUUUCAGGUGAAAAUGGUAAGACUUGGGUAAUACUUCUUCUAGGAUGGGGCAUUUCCUAUUUUCUUAGAUCUUGCAAGGUUCUCCUGUUAUCCCCAGCUGCAGGGGUACCUCUCCCACCAAGAACAUGUGAAAUUUCCCCCUCAUUUGAAAAAAAAAAACCAAUUUGCUACUAUGUUUAUAUAUAUAUAUUUUGAAAAUCUGGGAAAAAUGACAACCCUCUGUAUUUUCAUUUUCCAAUUUAUUGUCAGUCUACAUAGGUUUUAUUAUUUUGGGGACAUGUAUAUACAAAAUGAAUUUUCAUGCUUUGCUCAAUUUUCUUUCCAUGUAUUUUAGUAUCUGUUUUAAUUUCUGUGGUUUUUAUUCAUUACAUAUGCCCUGAUGUCUUUUAUUUUAGGUUAUACAUUUUUUAAUUGUAAGACAAAUCUUUCAUUUAUACCUUCUGAUUUUUGUUGUGCCUUUGUUGGUUUCAUAUUGAUUUGGAAGGCCUUGUGUGAUUAUUAAGUACUAAGUUUCAUUUAGGAAUAAAGUUUUGUUGUUUAAAAUUUU